rnacentral:misc_RNA from 1 species
GGGCAUCUGAAAAUAGACAAGAAUAUCUUGCCGCAAUGGAGGAAGCUGCAACUCAAGAAGGUCGUGCUAAGCAGCUUGAAGAUGAAAUCAAGGAGCUUAGGAGUCGAAUCAAACGCGAGCUGCAAGAAGAAAUGACACGAAGGGAACUUAUCGAGAAGGAGCUUGAAAAAGAAAGGGAUGCUAGAUUAGAGUUGGAAAGAGGGGCACCGCCUCAAACUUCUGCAGCUGGCACUAUGCCUUAUGUUGAAAAUGGAAAACCCCCGUUGCGGAGUCUUUCAAGUUCUGUGAGUC